GACGAACGCUGGCGGCGUGCUUAACACAUGCGAGUCGAACGGAAAGGCCCUUCGGGGUACUCGAGUGGCCCACGGGUGAGUAACACGUGGGUGAUCUGCCCUGCACUUUGGGAUAAGCCUGGGAAACUGGGUCUAAUACCGGAUAGGACCACGGCAUUCAUGUGCUGUGGUGGAAAGCUUUUGCGGUGUGGGAUGGGCCCGCGGCCUAUCAGCUUGUUGGUGGGGUAAUGGCCUACCAAGGCGACGACGGGUAGCCGGCCUGAGAGGGUGACCGGCCACACUGGGACUGAGAUACGGCCCAGACUCCUACGGGAGGCAGCAGUGGGGAAUAUUGCACAAUGGGCGCAAGCCUGAUGCAGCGACGCCGCGUGAGGGAUGACGGCCUUCGGGUUGUAAACCUCUUUCGCCAGGGACGAAGCGCAAGUGACGGUACCUGGAGAAGAAGGACCGGCCAACUACGUGCCAGCAGCCGCGGUAAUACGUAGGGUCCGAGCGUUGUCCGGAAUUACUGGGCGUAAAGAGCUCGUAGUGGUUUGUCGCGUUGUUCGUGAAAACUCACAACUCAAUUGUGGGCGUGCGGGCGAUACGGGCAGACUGGAGUACUGCAGGGGAGACUGGAAUUCCUGGUGUAGCGGUGGAAUGCGCAGAUAUCAGGAGGAACACCGGUGGCGAAGGCGGGUCUCUGGGCAGUAACUGACGCUGAGGAGCGAAAGCGUGGGGAGCGAACAGGAUUAGAUACCCUGGUAGUCCACGCCGUAAACGGUGGGUACUAGGUGUGGGUUUCCUUCCUUGAGAUCCGUGCCGUAGCUAACGCAUUAAGUACCCCGCCUGGGGAGUACGGCCGCAAGGCUAAAACUCAAAGGAAUUGACGGGGGCCCGCACAAGCGGCGGAGCAUGUGGAUUAAUUCGAUGCAACGCGAAGAACCUUACCUGGGUUUGACAUGCACAGGACGCUGGUAGAGAUAUCAGUUCCCUUGUGGCCUGUGUGCAGGUGGUGCAUGGCUGUCGUCAGCUCGUGUCGUGAGAUGUUGGGUUAAGUCCCGCAACGAGCGCAACCCUUGUCUCAUGUUGCCAGCACGUUAUGGUGGGGACUCGUGAGAGACUGCCGGGGUCAACUCGGAGGAAGGUGGGGAUGACGUCAAGUCAUCAUGCCCCUUAUGUCCAGGGCUUCACACAUGCUACAAUGGCCGGUACAAAGGGCUGCGAUGCCGUGAGGUGGAGCGAAUCCUUUCAAAGCCGGUCUCAGUUCGGAUCGGGGUCUGCAACUCGACCCCGUGAAGUCGGAGUCGCUAGUAAUCGCAGAUCAGCAACGCUGCGGUGAAUACGUUCCCGGGCCU
rnacentral:rRNA from 1 species